rnacentral:rRNA from 1 species
GACGAACGCUGGCGGCGUGCUUAACACAUGCAAGUCGAACGGAGUUCCUUGGAUAGAGGCUUCGGCCAAUUGAAAUGGAACUUAGUGGCGGACUGGUGAGUAACGCGUGAGGAACCUGCCUUUCAGAGGGGGACAACAGUUGGAAACGACUGCUAAUACCGCAUAAGCGCACAGUACCGCAUGGUACAGUGUGAAAAACUCCGGUGGUAUACGAUGGACCCGCGUCUGAUUAGCUAGUUGGUGAGGUAACGGCCCACCAAGGCGACGAUCAGUAGCCGGCCUGAGAGGGUGGACGGCCACAUUGGGACUGAGACACGGCCCAAACUCCUACGGGAGGCAGCAGUGGGGAAUAUUGCACAAUGGGGGAAACCCUGAUGCAGCGACGCCGCGUGAGUGAAGAAGUAUUUCGGUAUGUAAAGCUCUAUCAGCAGGGAAGAAAAAUAACCAAAUUGACUGUACCUGACUAAGAAGCCCCGGCUAACUACGUG